rnacentral:rRNA from 1 species
GAUGAACGCUGGCGGCGUGCCUAAUACAUGCAAGUCGAGCGAAUGGAUUAAGAGCUUGCUCUUAUGAAGUUAGCGGCGGACGGGUGAGUAACACGUGGGUAACCUGCCCAUAAGACUGGGAUAACUCCGGGAAACCGGGGCUAAUACCGGAUAACAUUUUGAACCGCAUGGUUCGAAAUUGAAAGGCGGCUUCGGCUGUCACUUAUGGAUGGACCCGCGUCGCAUUAGCUAGUUGGUGAGGUAACGGCUCACCAAGGCAACGAUGCGGAGCCGACCUGAGAGGGUGAUAGGCCACACUGGGACUGAGAAACGGCCCAGACUCCGACGGGAGGCAGCAGUAGGGAAUCUUCCGCAAUGGACGAAAGUCUGACGGAGCAACGCCGCGUGAGUGAUGAAGGCUUUCGGGUCGUAAAACUCUGUUGUUAGGGAAGAACAAGUGCUAGUUGAAUAAGCUGGCACCUUGACGGUACCUAACCAGAAAGCCACGGCUAACUACGUGCCAGCAGCCGCAGUAA